rnacentral:rRNA from 1 species
GGCCGCGGGAUUGGAGGAAAGCAGGGGAUCGUAAGACCUUGCGCUUUUGGAGUGGCCGAUGCCUGAUUAGCUAGUUGGUGGGGUAAGAGCCUACCAAGGCGACGAUCAGUAGUUGGUCUGAGAGGACGACCAGCCACACUGGGACUGAGACACGGCCCAGACUCCUACGGGAGGCAGCAGUGGGGAAUUUUGGACAAUGGGCGGAAGCCUGAUCCAGCAAUGCCGCGUGAGUGAAGAAGGCCUUCGGGUUGUAAAGCUCUUUCAGUCGAGAAGAAAAGGUUGCGACUAAUAAUCGCAACUUAUGACGGUAUCGACAGAAGAAGCACCGGCUAACUACGUGCCAGCAGCCGCGGUAAUACGUAGGGUGCGAGCGUUAAUCGGAAUUACUGGGCGUAAAGGGUGCGCAGGCGGCUCUGUAAGUCAGAUGUGA